UUUUUUAUCCUUUUAUGCCUAGUUCGAUGCCGACGUUGUGAUCUCUCAUUGGAGGGUGCAUUCGUUCAAUGCACCCAUGCGUGCAUAGUACGCCGACUCUUUGAAUUCCCUUUCCCUUUCCCCAUUUCCAUUUCCAUUUUCACCCAAGCCCGAGCCCAAGAGCAAGAGACCACCGGCAGCAACUCCAACAAGCUCUGACGGCAUGGAGCCAACUGGCAAUAAGAAUAAGCCGAAUCCCUUCUUCUCAUUCUCCUUCCAACCCUAUAUUAUUCCUCUUUGUUAAUAUCAUCUUCCUUUCUCUUCUUCUAGCAACAGACCACCGGCGGCGAUUUCAUUGUUUCACCGAACUCCAACGGCAUGUAGUCAACCGGCGGAGACCACCGGCAAUGAUUUCAUUGUUUCACCAAGCUCCGACAGCGAUUGCCAUCCAAUUCUGAUGGCAUGUCACCUAGCGGGAGGUCGGUGUCGUCAAGCUCAAAGAAACAAUUGUGCCUCCGAGAUUUUGCAUGUUAUGUCAGCUACGAUGAACCCAAACGAUAUUGAAUGGAAAACGGAAAGAACCUGAUUUUCCAUUGAAGGGGUACAAGUGUUUCUUGUUUAUAUGUUCCCGGCGAAGAAGUUGGUGCCAUAUGGAGAUUUCAUUGGUGCCUUUUACUUUCAAGCUUCUUACAGUUUCUCCGAUGAAGUUAUUAUCAAGCAAAAUCCAAUUUGCUCCUAUUGGAUUAGUCGACAUGCUUAAUACCAGAGGUGCCAUUCAAUCACUGGAGUAGGAUGACAAGACAAGCUCGGUUCGAAUUGGAGUGAGGGAAACCGGAGAGAUGAGGUUGUUUGCAUCAAAAGAAACCAAAAGUUUGUUUAAUUGAUGGUGAAGAGGUGCAUUUACGUUCGAGGAACACAUAGUUGUGAUUCAAGUUCCAUGGCCUAAUGGAUUAAUGUUCGAUUUUUAUUGAACUAAAUUUAUGUAAUGUGAAUUACGUAGUAAAGUGUGCUCUGUUAUUUAUUGUCUA